rnacentral:lncRNA from 1 species
AAAAUGACAAAACCCUUAACAAAUUAGCUCUUGCGCCCCGGGCAUAGACACAAUGCUUUAAGAAGUUCAAUUGUAAAAAAUUUGCAACACUAAAAUAGAAAUAACAAUUACUCCUGACUAAAGGAAAUCGAGAUAGUGUCUUCAGCUUUCCAAUUAUUGAGUCCGUCGCCAAUUGUUGGGAAAAUCCAGCUAUCCCAGUCGCAAUCGCUAUCAGCAUCUUCUACAGCAUUAAUUUGAUCUUUGAC